rnacentral:miRNA from 1 species
UAUAUACAUAUGUACGUAUAUAUGUACAUAUAUAUGUACGUAUAUGUACGUAUAUAGGUACAUAUAUGUACAUAUAUAUGUACGUAUAUAGGUACAUAUAUGUACAUAUAUAUGUACGUAUAUGUACGUA